AGCUCCUUGAGUAUUUUAGGAUGCAUUUCAUCAGGUCCUGGGACAAUGCUUCUGUACAGUCACUACUGAGACUGCCUGUAUGCUUGGACCCUGAUAAAUGAUACCAUGGAUGAGCAUUUUGGGACAGUGGGAUUGUCCAGUUUGGCCAAUGUACAUAGCAGAGAGGCAU